UCUUUCUGUUUCUCUCAAGGUUGCCUUGUCUGAACCCUGCUUCUUUUCUCGCUGUCUAAAGUAUAAAUACACUUGUAAACUUGUAGAGGUCAGAGUUCCUUUGAGAGCUUUCCUUGUGAUCACUUGUAUAGCUUUAAAUAAACCUAGACGGCUCUGCCAAAAUGAUACAACCACAACGCAAAGUUUGAUUUCUUCCACAAUUCAGUGCUGUGACUCGAAUAGAGACACCCAGAGUGAUCAGUUGAGAUACAGACCGUCUCCUCACUGAUGCCCCGGUACCAAACUAAGAGCCCUUGACUCAAGAGGCAGUAAAACACCACAGACUCAGUGGGACACAUUUUUUGAUUAGUACGCAGAAGCUUCCAAAAGAAGUCAAGAAUCUCAAGUUCGGAGCCUUUAGGCCUUCCAAGAAAAACUAAAAUCUCAGAUAAAGGAAUUAAAACAGAAAAAAAGCACCAAUAGGGGAUCCCCCAUCAACAGCGCCAUCAGCACCAGCACAACUUUAUCCACAAUUGACUGGGAAUGAAUCUGUAGAAGACAUAAUUGAUUUUUUAGUGUGCCACCCCCAUACCAGUCCUAGGAGACCUCCUAAACCUUGUUAAGCAAUUUCCCAAUAUCAGGGAAGAACCCCAGAAGUUUAGAAAUGAAAUUGGAAACUGUAAUCAAUUGUUAUGAGCCAACAUGGGUGGAUUUAAACCAAUUAAUGAGAAGUGUUCUGCCCUCCAAGGUCUGUAACCGCCUCAUCGCACAGGCUAAUUGGCCUCCUCAAGACCCGGAAUGGGCUAGUCGCUUAGUAAGUGCCCAAGAACACCUUGAGGCCGGGCUUAAAAUCUGCCCCAGGAAAACUGACUGGGCCAUAAUAAAUAACUGUAAGCAAAACAAAGGAGAAUCCCCAGCAGACUACAUGGAUUGCUUAAAACUCGUAUUUGAAAGACAUUCUGGCAUUGAAAAUACAGCUGAUACUGCCCCAGAAGCAGUUGUCGGCUGCUUUUGUCCAAGGACUUCUUUCUAAAGUCCAGGAACAGCUGCGUAUAAUUGCUGUAGGUUGGCAAACCAAGAUGCUUACAGAAUUAGUCACCAUUGCUAAUCACUGUACAGCCUGCCAAGAAAAGAAAAAGGAAACCACAGAAACUAAGCUAAUGUCUUUACCGGCCUGGCCAGCCAGGGAUGACGUUUAACCAGCCACCACCUCCUCUCUCUCAAUUUUCCGUCCCGAAUCAAGAAGCCUCCUGUUAGGAAAGCCUGAGGAAUGAUAACAUCAUCAUAGCCCUGCUUCUCUCACUUAAUCAAGAAGAUCCCUUCAUUUCCUGUUUAAUAAGCAGUACUCCUACAAAUUGUUUAGUAAACACCGGCACAAGUUGCUCUCCUCUCCGAGCUGAAGAAUUUUCUACAGCCCCCUCUCCUCUGCUGUGUAAACGCUGUAGGAAUUUCUAAUCAGAUAGUUCCUCAUCCUGUUUCCCAACCCUUACAUGUUUCUCUUGGCCCUGUUUCUGAUCAACAUGCCUUUCUCCUUGUCUCUAGUGGGUUAUGGAAUAGAGAAGUUCCCACACAAUUUACUGAUGUGUUUGAUGCACUGGCUGGGGACAUUUUUAGCUACUUGCAUGAUUUCACAAUGAUUACACACUUAAUUCAUACAACACAAUUUUAUUUUAAAAUUCUUUGCUACACAUAUAACACUGCUUAGCUUUAAGAAACAAUGCUCCAAAUGCACUUCCUUAUAACCAUUACAAUUACAACUCAAAGUUAAAUUUGAAUCAAUACUAUUAUUUUCAUAAUAUACUUACAAGCCUAGAAUUCCGAGAAGCCAAACACCAAAAUAUGGUUUCAUUCCUCAGUAGUACAAUUUAAUGGGUUGGCCUCAGUAGUAUGGUUCAAUGGGCUCGCCUCAGCAAUACGAGUCAAUGGGCUGGCCUCAAUACUGAUAGGACUAAGCCCCCUUCCUUCAGUCUCUUUUGGGUGCUCCGCAGCUUCAGCGUGAACUAAGAAAUUCGUGUUCACGGAGAGGGUGGUUCAGAUGAUCAGUCUGAUCCGGCCUACACUUCCGAUUCUUCCUUCAUUGUUCUGCAAGUGAGGUUACCUCCAAAUUGGAAGAGUAGGUUACAGUUUUUAUUGAGCGAGUUGCCGUCUUGGGCCCCUCCUACCCAAACCUGUCACUACUCCCAAAUUUGGGCUCAGAUCUUACUUAACAGAUUCUUUUGCUUGGUAAUCAGUUUCUUUUGUUGAUCAUUUUAAUUACUUUGAGGAAUUUCCAUAUCACUGAAUUGACUUUUAUUUCCAAUCUUUUAAAAGGCUCCUAGGUUUGAUUUCUCGGAAUGUGGGAUGUUUGCUUAAGGGUCAUUUUUAGGUUAACUUUGUUAAAGGCCUCUAAAGAUAAAAUUCAAGAGUUAAGACUUUGAGCAAAGUCAGGACCUUCCGCAUGUAGACCAAAACAAUGGCCUAGAUAAGGAGAUAAAUCUUGUCUUUUUCCUAAACUGGCUAAUGGGCAACUAUUACAAACAUUCAAACUAUUUCAUUCAAUAUGACACUCCUCAGUCCUUGUUAUCCUGUUAAUUUGUUAGGCAGAGAUUUGGUUUGUAAACUCAGCUGUACUAUUUAUUGUUCUCCUAAUGGUGUUUAUUUAGAUGUUCCCUGUGUUAAUGAAAUGGCUGUACUUGCUACACUAGCUAGCUCACCUCCUGAGCCUGAGUCCCCUAAUCUUUCUGUGUUGCAAGAGGAAAUCAUAAAGGCUGUCCCUCCGUUUCUCUGGUCCCAACAUGCUAAUGAAGUAGGACGAAUCCAUACUGCCCACCCUGUAAAAAUUAGAUUAAAUCCAGCCACUAUCUUGUCCUGUAUUCCUCCUAAUGCCUGUUAUUUUACUGUUGUUGACUUGUGUUCUGCACUUUUCUCUAUCCCUCUACACCCUGAUAGCUGGUUUCUCUUUGCAUUUACCUAUCAGGGACUUCAGUAUACCUGAACUUGGUUGCCCCAAGGCUAUACUGAACCCCCUUCUCUUUUUUCUCAAAUUCUGAAGAAGGAUUUAGAUGACAUCAUAUUUAAAGAAAAUUCUGUGCUUGUGCAGUACGUUGAUGAUCUGCUCUUAGCAUCUACCUCCCUUAAAGCCUAUAAAGCUGAUUCUUUAACUCUCCUCACCUCUCUUGCCCUAAAAGGCCAUAAGGCAUCUAAAGAAAAGCUACAACUUUGUCUCCCUCAUGUCCACUAUUUGAGUCAUGAUAUUUCCGCUGAAGAACGACUGCUUUCUUCUUCCAGGAUAGAAGCUAUUCCUAAAAUCCCUAGACCAACUACUGUGUCCCAAAUGCAUACUUUCCUAGGCAUGGCUGGCUACUGCCGCCAGUGGAUGUUGGCUAUGCCUCUAUAGUCAAGCCCCUGAAAAACCUGACUCUUGUUAAUACCCCUAAGCCUUUGCCCUGGACUUCAGAAGCUGAAGCCGCUUUUGCCUCUAUUAAACAAGCUCUGUCACAAGCUCCUGCCCUAGGCCUUCCCGAUUAUAUUAAACCCUUUAUUCUUUUUUGUCAUGAAAAAGACGGAUUUGCACUUGCUGUGCUCACUCAAGCACGUAGAGACAAGCACUGCCCCACUGCUUAUUAUAGCUCUGCUCUUGACCCAGUUGCAGCUGGACUUCCUCCAUGUCUUCGUGCUGUAGCUGCAGCUGCUAUUAUUGUUAAACUGUCCUGUACCCUUGUAUUAGGCUCUCCCCUUGCUGUUGCUGUCCCACAUGCUGUAGCAGCCCUUUUACUAAAAACUAAAACUCAAACACCUUUCAAAUGCUAGAUUGACUAAGUAUGAAAUGUUGCUUCUUUCUGCUGGAAAUAUUACUAUAACUAGAUGCCCUGUUUUAAACCCUGCCUCCCUGUUGCCUACUCCUUCAGAUGGUGAACUCCACGGUUGUAUUGCUGUUACUGCCCACCUAACAAUGCCCCACACUGAUCUAAAGGACACCCCCUUGCAAAACCCAAAUCUAGUAUCUUAUGUUGAUGGGUCAUGUCAAAGAAACUCAAAAGGUUUUCUUGUUGCAGGAUAUGCUGUAUGUUCCCAAUUUGAUGUUAUAGAAAGCCAUCACUUGCCCAAUGUGUAUUCAGCUCAAGUUGCUGGGCUUGUGGCCCUUACCAGGGCUUGCACCCUAGCCUCUGGUACCUCUGUUAAUAUUUACACUGAUUCUCACUAUGCCUUUGGUAUUGUACAUGAUUAUGGUCAACUUUAGAAGCAAAGAGGCUUCCUCACUUCAGGAGGUGCCAAAAAUCAGUAAUGAUCCAUAUGUGAAUGCCUUGUUAAAUGCUUUACAGUUACCUUCUGCUGUUGCUAUUAUUAAAUGCCAAGCUCACCAGAACCCUUAUGGUAAUGUUACACGUGGGAAUGCUCUGGCAGACUCCACUGCCAAAGCUGUGGCUAUUUCUACUCCUCAGGCUACACCUGUGUUUUUGUCUAUCUUGACUAACCACUCUCCAUUGGAAGUCUUCAUGACGUUGCCCACAUCCAAGAUUGCAGAGACCUGGAUAGGUUGCAGGGGUGGGCUAACAAAAACAGGAUGCGUUUCAAUAUUGACAAGUGCAGGGUGCUGCACUUGGGCAGUAGUAACCAGCAGCACACUUAUAAGAUGGGAAACUCCCUUCUUGAGAGCACGGAGGCAGAAAGGGAUCUUGGAGUCUGUGGCAGAAAUGCCACCAUCUGUGCCCCUCUCCAGAGAUCUGUCUUUGCCAGCGUGAGAGGCUGGUGUUGAAUUCCUCAGGGCAGGGAUCUUCCUCCAUGUCUACAUGACAAAAGCCUGGUGCCUCAGAGGUGGACGCUCUGGUCACCUUGGGGGGGAGAGGGAAAAGCCCCGCUCACCGGCCCAGGUGACCAGUGAUGCUUUUUUAGAUUGGUUGAUUUGUGGCCAGCACUGGCAGCUUCGAUUGGACCGGGCUGCUGAGGUCAGAAAGGUUAUAAAAAAACCCGGGCCAGGAGGAAGGGGAGCCAUUAGCCAUGCGGUCAUCCAGGUGAAUCUGAGCCUGGCUCUCUCCUCAUCACCGCAUGCUCCAAGAGUGCCCUGCCUCCAGAGGAAACUCCAACCACCUCUGGACGAUGUGUGUGAGUAAGCUACUCGAGAUCAGACUAGAUAUUUAGCUUACAGUAACUCAGAUGCGAGAUCAAAAGGCUACCUCAGCCACCCUGGUUUGCUCUAUGGGAUCCCUCUGAUAUUCCACUGAUACUGCUCUACCUUUUACCCUGUUUCCGCCCUACCCCCUGUAAUCAAUAAAGUUCUCCUUGUGACCGGUGUGGGAGACUUAUUGAGGGGUGGGUCUAAAUUAUGCCAAGGUGGCCCCUUAGGUCUGCGGACUAAGGGAGGCUUCCCUAAUCAGCCCCUGACUUGGGGAAGUGCCCCAAGUGCCUGUAUUGGGUCUAGUGCCCAUUGGACGAUCAGACCUGUGUUCUCCAAGGUGCGCAGAGCCAGAAGUGAGUCCAGAGCCUUGGAUGGUGGCAGCGGGAACCCCAGGCUAGCGGGUGUGCUCCAGGGAAGGGGUCGGCCGGACGGGAGGCACCCCAGGGAGGCACUCGGAGCCUGGACGGUGGGCGGGCGCAGGGAGGUGGGUGGCUCAAGGCAGGAGCGCCCCCUACUGGCUCACCACAGAGUCAUCAUUGACUCCAAGAUGAACGUGGGCCUACAACGCGAGGUCACGGUCGGCAGGGCUAACCGGACCCUAUCGUGCAUCCACAGGUGCAUCUCGAGUAGAUCCAGGGAGGUGAUCCUCCGCCUCUAUGUGACACUGGUCAGGUCACAGUUGGAGUACUGUGUCCAGUUCUGGGCACCCCACUUGAAGAGGGAUGUGGACAACAUUGAGAGGGUCCAGAGGAGGCCACCCGCAUGAUCUGGGGACAACAGGGCGGACCCUACAAUGAGAGGCUACGGGACCUGAACCUGUUCAGCCUUCACAAGAGAAAGCUGAGGGGGGACCUGGUGACCGUCUAUAAACUCACUAGGGGGGACCAGGAGGGUUUGGGGGAGACCCUGUUUCCCCUAGUGCCCCCGGGAUAACAAGGAAUAGCGGCCACAAGUUGUUGGAGAGUAGGUUCAGAUUAGACAUCCAUAGGAACUACUUCACAGUCAGGGCGGCUAGGACCUGGAACCAACUUCCAAGGGAAGUGGUGCUGGCUCCUACCCUGGGGGCUUUAAGAAGCGCCUCCAUGCCUACCUGGCUGGGGUCACUUGAUCACAGUUUUCUUCCUGCCCAGGCAGGGGUUUGGGCCUGAAGAUCUACAAGGUCCCUUCCGACCCGACUUCUGUGAUUCUAAGAUCAGGCUCCAGAACCAGAAAAAUAUACGUGGAGACUGGCUGGGUGUUUGUUACACCCUGACCGUUUGUGGUGCUCCCCGGCCACCUGGUUGCCCCAAUGGUCCUUCUUCCUUAUCUUGCUCACAUACACUACGGCAUAGCACACAUGAGUAAGGAGGGGAUGAUAGAAACUGUUAAGCUUGAUUGGUUUGCUCCAACUUUUCCAUCUGUGGCUCAACAAUACUUUUAUACCUGCCCUAUUUGUCAAGCCCAUAAUGUGGGAAAGCCUGCAAAAACAAAAAAAGCAGCACAUCCCCCAUUUGUAAAUUUAAAAAUAGAUUUUAUUCAAAUGCAGAAAUGUUGUUCUUAAGCAUAUGUUCUUGUUAUUGUAUGUAUGUUCUCUGGAUGAGUAGAAGCCUACCUAUGUGCAAAAGCUGAUACCACCACUGUGAGCAAAAAGUUCCUCAGAGACUUUAUUCCAAGGUUUGGUAUUCCUUUAUCCAUAAACUCCGACAGAGGAACUCAUUUUACUUGGCAGAUAAUGAAAGAAGUCUGCAAAGUCCUGCAAAUCCCGCAAAACUUUAAUUGCCUGUACCAUUCACAGGCCUCGGGCCAACUGAAAUGCCAAAAUAGCUUUUUAAAAAAUAAACUGGCCAAAAUUUGUGCUGAGACUCACCUGACAUGGCCAAAUGCACUUCCUAUAGCCCUUAUGAGUAUAAGACCUACUGUCAAUCGAAAGACCGGACUUAGCCCACAUUAAAUCCUGAUGAGAAGACCCACGAGGCUCCCCGCCUAAUCACCUGUGGCCUCCCACUUUUGCGAUAUACAUUUACUUGAUGAUAUUAUUCUAGAUUACGGCACUAAUGAAGUGUGUUAAGGCUUUUCAUUCACAGGUACAAGCAACUCUCCCCAAGGAAUCAGAUGAGCCAUGCCAUCCCAUCCUGCCUGGUGAUUGGGUUCAUGUAAAAGUCUAUCAACGGAAGUCAUCGCUGGAACCCCGCUGGAAAGGCCCAUUCCAGGUACUCCUGACAACCAGCACUGCUAUAAAGUGUCAAGGACUCCAACCGUGGAUCCACGCUUCACACACUAGGAAAACAUCAGCCCCGUUAGACCUAGAGUCUCCUCCAUAUCAACCUUGUAAUCAGCCUUCACAGACUGGUAGUGAGCCUAGCGCCUGCCAACAGGAGAGCUCAAGACCAGUAGCGAGUCAAGCGCCUACUGGCGAAGAGGAUUUGCCACUACAAAGCAAAGAGGAUUCACCACUAGAAGAAAAUGUACCCCAACGACACCACUAUGCCCUUCGGGAAAGGAAAAAGGCCUCUACCUAGUUCCUGGUUCCCGAGGUGGGGUUGGUUAGUCGUGACUUGGGUACUUCUCAGUCUUUCCUUUUGGAUCAUCUUAUAUGAACUUAAAGACUCACCAGCUAAAAGAAACUUUGUAAAUCAGACUAGACUUCAAAACAGGUCAAACAGAUCACUCCCACAUUGGCAUGCUCACCAAAACGCUUUUCUUCAACUGUCUUAUCAAUAUGCAAAGGAUUUAAGUGUUUCUAAAUGUUGGGUAUGUUCCCACUUGCCUCCUAGUACAAUGACAGGGGUGCCCACGAUUGCUUUAUCCCUUAAUUGGGCUGACUUUUGUGAUAUGUAUGUUAAAAUAGCGAAAAGGUAAAGAGAAAGAAAAAGUAAAAGUUAAAAGGCUCGUGGCUAUAAAUAUCUAAUAUGUUGGGCCAAAAAAGGCCCAAAAGGGGGGAAUGUGGAAAUAAGUUUAACCAGGCCUCUUUUUGACUAAGAGGAGAGACAAAGAGAGAGAAAGGGAAGAGAAAAAGAUGCUGAUGCUGGUGCUAUGUGUUUCAAAAUGUUCUAAGAUAAGGAAAAACUUUCAUACCCUGUUUUGUCUUGAUAUAUUAAGCUCUGUGUGCAGAUGUUAACUUCCUCCUUUCCCACGAACCAGAAGCUGAUAACUGUUCCCAAAACACAGUGGGGGGGGGGGGGGGAGGGGGGUGUUUCUGAAUAAGUAAACUGUUUACGUGUGACAAACGAAUGACCAACUUCUUCCCGUUUCUUUCAAAGUUGCUUUGUCUGAACCCUGCAUCUUUUCUCACUGUCUAAAGUAUAAAUAUGCUUGUAAACUUGUAGAGGUCAGAGUUCCUUUGAGAACCCUCCUUGUGAUCACUUGUAUAGCUCUAAAUAAACCUAGAUGGCUCUGCCAGUUCUGAUACAA